UAUGCACGCUGGCGGCGUGCCUAAUACAUGCAAGUCGAGCGAACAGACGAGGAGCUUGCUCCUCUGACGUUAGCGGCGGACGGGUGAGUAACACGUGGAUAACCUACCUAUAAGACUGGGAUAACUUCGGGAAACCGGAGCUAAUACCGGAUAAUAUAUUGAACCGCAUGGUUCAAUAGUGAAAGACGGUUUUGCUGUCACUUAUAGAUGGAUCCGCGCCGCAUUAGCUAGUUGGUAAGGUAACGGCUUACCAAGGCAACGAUGCGUAGCCGACCUGAGAGGGUGAUCGGCCACACUGGAACGGAGACACGGUCCAGACUCCUACGGGAGGCAGCAGUAGGGAAUCUUCCGCAAUGGGCGAAAGCCUAACGUAGCAACGCCGCGUGAGUGAUGAAGGUCUUCGGAUCGUAAAACUCUGUUAUUAUGGAAGAACAAAUGUGUAAGUAACUAUGCACGUCUUGACGGUACCUAAUCAGAAAGCCACGGCUAACUACGUG
rnacentral:rRNA from 1 species